rnacentral:rRNA from 1 species
UACGGAGGGUGCGAGCGUUGUUCGGAAUCAUUGGGCGUAAAGGGCGUGUAGGUGGUCUGUUAAGUCAUGUGUGAAAGCCCUCAGCUUAACUGGGGAAGUGCGCAUGAAACUGACAGGCUAGAGUACCGAAGAGGAAGGUGGAAUUCCCGGUGUAGCGGUGAAAUGCGUAGAUAUCUGGAGGAACACCGGUGGCGAAGGCGGCAUCCUGGACCAACACUGACGCUGAGUGAGCGAAAGCCAGGGGAGCAAACGGG